CCCGAAAGGUCGAAGGCGGAGAUUCAACUGUCUGUCGUGUGUGUCGGCGUUUUUGAGGCGAACUUGAUUGUUCAGUGAACUGAGACGACGGUGUGCUUGCGCGUCUCCUCGGAGGCGGCGUACUGUCACGCUUCGCUCGGCCUCGACGGACGUGACCUGGCCGCGAAGGUAUGCACUUCUCCGUUAGUAGGACGUCGCGACCCGUUGGGGCGCCGGUCUAAGGCCUGUCGCGUAGACUGAUCUCGCGCGUUUCAAAGCGCGCGGGACGCAGACCGGCAGUGUCCCGGCCGUGCCCCCGACGGUAUAAUCGAACGGACGGCGAUGGGCCUCGUCGGACGCGAAAGCGUCCGUCGCGUUCUGUGCGAGCGCAAGUGCGUGCGCGUUUAUCGGCCUCGUGCCGUCGGCGGUCGGACCUGGUGCCGGCUCCGGACGCGCAUCACUGUUGGCGUUUCGUCACUCGAACGGGUCCGCGCUCGCGCGUUUCGGCGCGCGGGCACGCCGUGUCGGCGACGCUAUAGCUUUGGGUACUUUCAGGACCCGUCUUGAAACACGGACCAAGGAGUCUAGCAUGUGCGCGAGUCACUGAGUGCUCGACUAAACUCAAAGGCGAAAUGAAAGUGAAAGUGACCGCGCGUCACGGCGCGCGGUUCGCCGAGGGAAGAUCGGUCGCGUGCGCUGUCGCGUCCGCGGCCGCGCAUUCCCGGGGCGUCUCGUUCUCAUUGCGAGAUGAGGCGCACCUAGAGCGUACACGCUGGGACCCGAAAGAUGGUGAACUAUGCCUGGUCAGGACGAAGUCAGGGGAAACCCUGAUGGAGGUCCGUAGCGAUUCUGACGUGCAAAUCGAUCGUCGGAACUGGGUAUAGGGGCGAAAGACUAAUCGAACCAUCUAGUAGCUGGUUCCCUCCGAAGUUUCCCUCAGGAUAGCUGGCGCUCGCGUUCGCGCGCGCUUCGCGCGCGUGCGUUCACGAGUCUCAUCUGGUAAAGCGAAUGAUUAGAGGCCUUGGGGCCGAAACGACCUCAACCUAUUCUCAAACUUUAAAUGGGUGAGAUCUCCGGCUUGCUUGAACUAAGUGAAGCCGCGAGACGAAUUAUGGAUCGAGAGUGCCAAGUGGGCCACUUUUGGUAAGCAGAACUGGCGCUGUGGGAUGAACCAAACGCAGAGUUAAAGCGCCUAAAUAGACGCUUAUGGGAUACCAUGAAAGGCGUUGGUUGCUUAAGACAGCAGGACGGUGGCCAUGGAAGUCGGAAUCCGCUAAGGAGUGUGUAACAACUCACCUGCCGAAGCAACUAGCCCUGAAAAUGGAUGGCGCUGAAGCGUCUUGCUUAUACUCUGCCGUCAGCGGCAUUGUUGGCGUUCGCCGUUUCGUCGCGGCGAUCGUCGUGAAGCCCUGACGAGUAGGAGGGUCGCGACGGUGAGCGCAGAAGGAUUGGCCGCGAGGCCGUCUGGAGCCGCCGUCGGUGCAGAUCUUGGUGGUAGUAGCAAAUACUCCAGCGAGGCCCUGGAGGACUGACGUGGAGAAGGGUUUCGUGUGAACAGCCGUUGCACACGAGUCAGUCGAUCCUAAGCCCUAGGUGAAAACCGAUGUUGAUGCGGUGUGUUUUUCAAAAUUAUAUUUUUUAUAUGAUUAUAAAAAACGAAGUUACACCCGUCGGG
rnacentral:rRNA from 1 species